rnacentral:lncRNA from 1 species
AAGGUGGGUGAUUCUUUUCUAUACCCACUGUGUGUCAUUUUUUAAUCCAUUAAUUUUUUUAGUGGACACACCCACAAGAACAACCCCAGAGAGAGAAAUCAUCUGUGUUACUUUAAAGAAGGAUCCCAAACUUGGUUUCGGUGAGUGAAAAUGAGUGUGCAUCUUUUAUGUAACAUUAAGCAUUUGCAGUAAUCGUGCUCCAAAAUGCUGAUGUAUCCCUUUUUGAUGAAAAGGUUUUGUAAUUGUCGGAGAGGACAACACGGGGAAGUUAGAUCUAGGAAUUUUCAUUGCAUCCAUCGUUCCCGACGGACCGGCUGAUAGGGACGGCAGAAUCAGACCAGGUGGUCGGCUGAUCUCUAUGAAUAAGAUCAGUCUAGAGGGGGUAACGUUUAAUAUAGCUGCUGCCAUACUGCAGAGCAGCCCAGAUGAAGUGGAGCUCAUAGUGUCCCAACCCAAACAGGAUCUUCGGGACAGUAAGACCUCACUGGCUACAAGUAAUUUAGGGAUGAUGCUGGAAAGAGGCUUUGGCUCUCAAAGCACCCUGAGUGCAGAGUACAGGCCUGUGAUGGAGGAGCUGGAGGAGACCCUCUCCAACAUCAUGACUCCUAAAAUGGGCAAAAGGCUGCACAUACCUGUGGUGCGGAUUCUGGAUAUUCAGGUAUGAUUUACAGUGAUGCAGUCUGUUCAGUUUAUUGGAAAACAUCUGACAUGAACAAAAGCUAUGCGAAAUCAUUUUUUAUUAUUCAUCCUAUACAGGAUAGGAUGUCUAAUAAUUCUUCCGGCUUCAGCUCAAAGCCAGGUGAAGCAAUCUACAUGGAGCUCAGAAAGAUCAACAGCAGCUUGGGAAUCAGUGUUGCUGUGAGUUUUUACUCAGUGUAGUGUUCAUUUAAUUUCUCAAAUCUUAAAACAUGGAGUAUGAUACUAUUUUUAAUGAUUUUUAGGGGGGAAUCAACACUAAUGUACAUCAUGGAGGAAUCUACAUCAAAAGCGUGAUGCCAGGAGGAGCGGCAGAUCAAGAUGGAAGAAUACAGAUAGGUUAGGAUCCAUCAUUACCAAUUAUAAAACCUAAUAUUC